rnacentral:rRNA from 1 species
UACAGAGGUGGCAAGCGUUGUUCGGAAUUAUUGGGCGUAAAGCGCGCGUAGGCGGCUACCUAAGUCGGAUGUGAAAGCCCCUGGCUUAACUGGGGAAGUGCACCCGAAACUGAGUAGCUAGAGUGCGAAAGAGGGUCGCGGAAUUCCCGGUGUAGAGGUGAAAUUCGUAGAUAUCGGGAGGAACACCGGUGGCGAAGGCGGCGACCUGGGUCGUUACUGACGCUCAGGCACGAAAGUGUGGGUAGCAAACAGG